CAGUAGCCGCGGUAAUACGGAGGGUGCAGGCGUUAAUCGGAAUUACUGGGCGUAAAGCGCACGCAGGCGGUCUGACAAGUCAGAUGUGAAAUCCCCGGGCUUAACCUGGGAACUGCAUUUGAAACUGUCAGGCUGGAGUCUUGUAGAGGGGGGUGGAAUUCCAGGUGUAGCGGUGAAAUGCGUAGAGAUCUGGAGGAAUACCGGUGGCGAAGGCGGCCCCCUGGACAAAGACUGACGCUCAGGUGCGAAAGCGUGGGGAGCAAACAGGAUUAGAUACCCGGUAGUUCCUGUCUCUUAUACA
rnacentral:rRNA from 1 species